rnacentral:rRNA from 1 species
UACGUAGGGUGCGAGCGUUGUCCGGAAUUAUUGGGCGUAAAGAGCUCGUAGGCGGUCUGUCGCGUCGAUCGUGAAAACUUGGGGCUUAACCCUGAGCUUGCGGUCGAUACGGGCAUGACUGGAGUUCGGCAGGGGAGACUGGAAUUCCUGGUGUAGCGGUGAAAUGCGCAGAUAUCAGGAGGAACACCGAUGGCGAAGGCAGGUCUCUGGGCCGAUACUGACGCUGAGGAGCGAAAGCGUGGGGAGCAAACAGG